ensembl:lncRNA
GUAGAGAGACCAUUACAGUUUCCAUUAAAACCAAUACAAUUCCCAUUAUAACCAUUACAAAUUAAAUGAGGAUUUAUAUUGGGUUUUUUCCCCAGCAGGGUGUACUGGUACACAGAUGUUUGAGGUGACAAUCGGGAUUUGUUUAGUAAUGUUUUUAAUGUUAUUGUUGGUAUUUUGCUGUGGUAUAAGAGGAAUAAAACCAGCAGGGAAUAUCAACUUUGAUAAAUAAUCAGCUUCAGGGAGCUAAUAGUAACUCUGCUUCAUCACACCGCCCCAGCAUGGGGUUUAAAUAAAAUGCUUUAUUCGGAAUAGAGCGGGACACCAGAACUCUGGAUUACAUUAUUUUCCACCUCGGUGGGUUCGAGCUACAACGUGGGGAAAAAACAUGGACAUGUUUGUCUUUCAUGAGCAACAAACUAUCAGAAAUGAAGCGGGAUUUUAUUGACCAUUGAUACCUUGAGUGGCCAUGUUGGUUUGAUGUCACUUACAGAACUCAGGGUUGUUGUUGUUGUUGUUAUUAUUAUUAUUAUUAUUCUGUUGCCCUGUCUGUAUGGAGUUUGCAUGUUCUCCCCGUGCUGCGGGGGUUUUCUCCGGGUACUCCGGUUUCCUCCCCCAGUCCAAACACAUGCAUGGUAGUCUGAUUGGUGUGUCUAAAGUGUGUAUGCUAUAAUAAAAAACAACUACAGUUCUGCCGCUGUGUUUCAAAAAUGAGGUAAAUCCGCGGAUCUGGCAACUCGCACAUCCCGUGACUCCCACAUGUUUAUUAAACCUGCUUAUUUUGUAAUAUUUAUUACACCGAAUCAUGAGCAGAAACCUUGUUUGUUUGUUUUUCCUCAUAGCACGAUCACGCAAAACCACGCGCGUUUGUUAUAUUCGUGUGUUUUUUUUCGGUUUCUCACGCGGACAGACCGAGUUGUUUACCUCUUCGCUCCGUGACGUCACGACACACCCCUUGUGCGCGUACGUGUGUAUGUGUGUGUAUAUGUGUGUGAGAGAGAGAGUGAGAGAGAGAGAGAGUGUGUGUCGUCCCAAACGUCGGAACAGUGCGCGUGUGGCGUGGCAAUGGGGUCUCGCGCAUAAACCCCUAAAAAAACAAACAAAAAAAAACAACCAUAACAGCCAGGAGCGCGCGCGGCGUGUCCGUGGGUUACUGCGCGAGGAGCCGAGGCGGGGCGUUAUUACAACCGACCCCCUUUCCCCCGUUUCUCUCUCUAUCUCUACUGGGGUCCAAGUUCAAAGUUUGUACGUGUUUUCUUUUUUUCUUCCUCCGCUCUACGUACCGGAAAGCAGGCGCGCGCUCUGUUUUAUUUGAUCGCACGCGGAUAAGAUCGGUCUGACGCGUCUCCGCGUUUCUUCUCCUCCACGCCUCGGUGUGUGCUCGCGCUGGCGGCAACUUCUCGCCAUAGGAAUGAGAUAAACGCACGCGCACAUCCAUACAUACACAUGAACACACGCGUUUGCGAAAAAAAAGAAAAGAGGAAAGUUCCGGGGAAGCGGAGUGGAGAGAGUAACGAGCAAGCGCGAGGAGGAGACAGAAGAAGAAAAACACACACACACACACACGGGAUAAAGAGAAAGUUGCACGGUCCGGAACUGAAGUGGAUUAAAGUGGAGCCACGAGACAUCAACAACAACGAGACCGCAAACAAAAGCGCUGCACAAGAUUGCUAACGAUAAAUAAACAACAACAACAACAAUAAUAACCCCGCUCGAGCGUGCGCGCGCGUCCCUACUGCGCUUUCCGUCUUCUUUUUAUUACCUGGCACGCGCUGAAUAGUAUCCUAACUUUACUAUCCUAAACACGAGGAACUUUUACAUUGUCUCACAGUACCGUGUGUGUGUGUUACAUUAAUGCACGUGCACGCGGGAAAGAAAGAGAGGAAACAAAACGCUUGACGGAAACGAGAGGAGGAAAAAAAACACGGUCACGGAACCUCGGUGAGGAAGAGGAGCACACACUGAUGUGAAGAAGGAAUGCAAAAGAACUCGGGUAAGAAAGCAAGCAGGCGCGUGCACGUGUGUGUGUGUCUGUCCUGUUAGCACUGCAGCUUGCUGCAGCCAUUUGCAGCUGCGACAUCAUAUAGGAUAUAUACAUAUGCGCGCGCGCACACACACACACACACACACACUCUUUCAACUUCCCUUCUGACAUAUUUAUAUUCAGUGUUUAAUCCUAAUAAAGUACAGCUCUCUCUUACUGAGAUGAAAAUGUGCUUUUGUAAUUCACUGAUUUUAAAUCACGACAAUUAUUCUGGGGAGAAAGAAAAGAUUCUUCCUAUUUCCAGUAAAGAGCAAUAAUCAUAUUCUAAUUCUAAUAAUCAUUAUAUUCUAAUGAUCAUAUUCUAUAAUCAUAUUCUAAUUCUAAUAAUCAUUAUAUUCCAGUAAUUCUACAGAUUCCCUGAGCUGCAGGUGAAUUAUAAUGAUCUAAAGCUUAAUCUAAGAUCUAGUUUAAUAUUCAGAUAUUUCCCUCAUUAGCUACAGAAAUCUGUUUAUUGACUAUUAGUUUCAGUGAUUUAUUUAUUUCUACAAACAGAGCAGAAAGUGUUUACGGUGUGAUUACAUCUGAAUCCGAAACGGUUUUUACGUGGAAACCUUUCCUUACAUUUCCACUCACACAGUACAGAUUCCUUUCUAAUAUGAAUAUUCAAAUAUUCAGAAAAUUAUGCAAAUAUGCAAGCACCAUCUUAGUGAUUGAUUGGUUGAUUGAUUAGGAGAGUGUUUUUAUUUCCACAAACACAAAUCAGGAACGUACACUGUGUGAAAUUGUGACGCGUAUAUGCAUGGUUGACCUUUUUUAUAUUUACGCUUUAUAUUUGAUCAAAAGCGCUUGUCGUUAUUUUUGAUCAGACCUGCAGGGUAAAUCACUCAGUAAUAACUGGAAUAAAUAAACUGUUAUGAGCGCACGAUCAGGAAGCUGAUAAACAUUUGAACAGUCGUUAAUGACGGCCGUUACAUUUAACUCAACUCUUGAUUGUUAUUGUGAUUUAUUAUUAAACUUAUAAACAUAGAAAUGAAUCACUAAAAUGUAAACAGUAGCACAAAUACUUAAUAAUAAACCGUUAAUAGCUGAACGGACCUAUAAUCAUCAUGUCAGGUAAAGACGUGCGGGUUACGUGUUACACCGCGGCGCUGCUGAGUUCUGGACUCUGAUUGGUCAGAAGCUGGUGAUUAAUUCUCUAUAACAGCAGCUCUGAUGGUAGUGCGGGUGUAUAUUAACGCACUCCUUAUCGUUUCCAUAGUAACGGCUCGUUCACAGGGACAUGUUCGCUCCACAUGAACAGAUUCUUAACGGUUGUGGAUAGGGUGAAGUUUUCUGUAAGGGGCAACGUGUUUAUGUGACGUUUACGGAAGGAGUCUCCAGUGUCGGCGCUGUAAGAGAAACAGACAGAGGAGUUUAAACGUAACUAUAAACUUACAAAAAGCACGAUGUGGGUUUUUUUAAUGAGAAUUGUAAUCGUUGACAGGUUGCUGUGGUGUAAGAGGAGUUAAACACUUCAGGGGGUACUGUUAUAGGAACUCGCGCGCGCGCGCACACACACACACGCGCACACACACUUUUAUUCCUCACCUCUAUUUGUGUCUCUGCAUGUAGUUAAAUGUGUAAUGAUUAAUAUACCUAGUGUGUGUUUAAUAUCUGACACCUGUGUUAGUGGAGGCUAAACAGCUUUUAUUGCUGGUUAAAUUAGACCAUGUAUACACACACACACUCUCUCUCUCACUCACACACACACACACACACACACACACACACACACACACACACACACUCUCUCUCUCUCACUCACACACACACACACACACAACUAUUGAGUCGCAUUAGCUCAGUGUUGAUCGUAGCGGAUGCUGCCGUGUUGAAACCUUAAAGCCGAAGUGAGUGUGUGAGUGUGUGUGAGUGAGUGAGUGUGUGUGUGUGUGUGAGUGUGAGUGUGUGAGUGAGUGUGUGAGUGAGUGAGUGAGUGAGUGUGUGUGUGUGUGUGUGAGUGUGAGUGUGUGAGUGAGUGUGUGAGUGAGUGAGUGUGUGUGUGAGUGUGAGUGUGUGAGUGAGUGUGUGUGUGAGUGUGUGUGUGUGUGUGAGUGUGUGUGUGAGUGAGUGUGUGUGUGAGUGUGUGUGUGAGUGUGUGUGUGAGUGUGUGUGUGAGUGUGAGUGUGUGUGUGAGUGAGUGUGUGUGAGUGAGUGUGUGUGAGUGUGUGUGUGUGAGUGAGUGAGUGUGUGUGAGAGAGAGUGUGUGAGUGAGUGUGUGUGUGUGUGUGUGUGUGUGUGAGUGUGUGUGUGUGUGUGUGUGAGUGUGUGAGUGAGUGUGUGUGAGUGAGUGAGUGUGUGUGUGUGUGUGUGUGUGAGUGUGUGUGUGAGUGUGUGGUGUGAGUGUGUGAGUGUGUGAGUGAGUGUGUGUGUGUGAGAGAGAGACGGGUUACCAUACAAUCACUCCUGUAUGCGUCUCUGUUGAGGACUGUGAUGUGAUUAUUGGUUGUGAAUGAGCACAAGAUUAACUUUGCUCUUUGUACAAUGUGUAAAUGUUUUGGCACCUGAACACUGGUACUCCCCCCAGCCCCCCUCCAGCCACCGAUCAAGUACCAAAAGUCCCAGAUGCAUCCACACCGGCAAUGUUUACCCUGGAACAGCGCGGCCGAACAUCGUUCGGUUUUCAGCGAGAGUGGCUGUUUAUAACGGCAGGAGGCGGAGCAAGUGUUCGUGAAGAAAAGUGGGCGGGGCAAGCGGUGGAGGGGCAGGGGGAUGGUAGUGGUGUUUAUUUGUUCCUGAAGCAGUUGGUGAGUCUCGCUGUGCUGCUGCGAGCUUAAAGUGUUUAAUCAACGUAAAUCUAUCCAGCAGCAAUGUUUUUCCCACAAAUAAACAGCACUGACCCUGAAAUGCAAACCAGCAUCCACCCUGUUUCUCCAGAGCUUUAACUUUGACGUCUGAUUUGUGACUUUUACAGCCUGAAUGUGCUAGUGCAUUAGAGCAUUAGUGAGCUACAGCGGAUAGUUCGGAAGGGGAAAAGCUGGCUGUCUUGUAGAAGAGCCGUGAGAUCUUCUCUCGCCCUGCGUCACCUGGAGACGUUUGAUCUCGUCUAGCGGGUAGGGCUGGGCGAUAUUAUAAAAAUACCAUAUCACCAUACUUGAAGACGUUUCUAUGAUACGCGAUGCGCAUCACAUUAAAUAACUUGGCUAACAAACCGUCCACAAAACUGGCUUUGACGAUACUUUUCUUUAACGACAAUUUAAGUUACUGUUUCACGAGUAAUUAUUAAAAACGUGUAACAUUUACAUGACCCUACCGACUAUGUCUCAGAAAAGUGUCAUCGUUUAUCACGAUAUCGGUGUUAUAUCGAUAUAUCGGCCAGCCCUACUGGCUAUUGCUGAGAUUUACGUUUAAGAUGCUCUGUCCUGUGCCUGUAGGAAGAUGCUGGAGAUAUUUGUUUUCACUUUGCUUUGAUAGUUAAUCUGGGAACACGUCCAGAUCGCCAUCAUGUCCUCGUCAUCUGUUUAUUAGUGCUGCAUUACACGACGCAGCUAGGGUUACAUUACACGCUAUCACCUGCUAUCGAUUUCGGAGUUGGAGCAUUUUUCUACACUCGGUACUGUUACCCUAGUGAUGAGGAUGAGGAGGAGGAUGAUGAGGAGGAGGAGGAGGAGGAGGAUGAUGAUGAUGAGGAGGAUGAUGAUGAGGAGGAGGAGGAGGAUGAUGAUGAGGAGGAGGAUGAUGAUGAGGAGGAUGAUGAUGAUGAUGAUGAUGAUGAGGAGGAGGAGGAGGAGGAUGAUGAUGAGGAGGAUGAUGAUGAGGAGGAGGAGGAGGAUGAUGAUGAGGAGGAGGAG